CUCAGUUCGCGGCCGACCGGCUAGUCAUGGGUUGUGAAAGAUUUGAUCGUUUUUUAGAGAAUAUUAACAUGUUAUUACGUUACUUUUUUCUUAAUUUUGAGUUUCUGUUAAGAAUUUUGAUGAAUUCAUUCGAUCGAUCAAUUAACUACAAAUAUAAGUUUGUUAAUCAUGAAGGAGAAACAUGCGAGACGGUUGGAAUCAUUAAAAUCAGCAGCAAAAAGAUCGGGUACGGAUUGCAUCAAAACAGAACUAAAUAAAUCGACCACAAUAAAUGGAGUGUCACCACUAAGGAUGGACGAAGCAUCAUGCGAGGAAUUAUAAAGAGCACUGCCAACUGCGUUUGAGGAGCCAAAAGAUACGCAUUCCACUAAUACAAGCAUAUCAAGUCAAUUUGAGAAUCAAAUCUCCAUACCAUGUUUUGUUAAUGACUCUGAUUAUAGUGCAGGUGAAAGUAUGUUUAAAAGUAUUAAC